UGAUGGAAAAAAAAUAAAUGGGAGGAUGGGAGCAAGAGGAAUGACAGCAAGCUCCAAUGACAUCAUUUAAAGUGAAAUGUCUUAUCGGGGGAAAAAUCAAUGAAUUUGACAGAGUAAAUGUCAUUGCCUUCUCUAUGGCAUUUGAAAGUAAAGUUUUUACUUUGUUGUGCAUCAUCAAUAUGAUGCACACCAACUCUUCCUUCAACUGAACCACCCUACAAGGAUAAUGGCAAAUGUCACAAUAUAUCAGAAAAUUCAAAGAACCUAUAACAAUAAAGAUAUCAAUGACAUUAGAGAUUAAAUAAUCAAAUGAUUUCAUGCAUCAUUUCCUUCUUUGUAUUUAGAUAUUUAAGAAGACUGCCAUAUAUUUCUCCCACAACUAAGAAAAAUAAGGAAAAAAACAGUUCUUUACAAAUCAGAGGCAAAAACACCGACAAUUGUCAUCAUAUUAAAAGGUAAACUCUGCAAUGCUGAACGAAAGAGAUAAUGCAAA
rnacentral:lncRNA from 1 species